rnacentral:misc_RNA from 1 species
AACGCACCUUGCGCUCCUUGGUAUUCCUUGGAGCAUGCCUGUUUGAGUAUCAUGAAAUCUUCAAAGUCAAUCUUUUGUUAAUUCAAUUGGUUGUGCUUUGGUAUUGGAGGUCUUUGCAGCUUCACACCUGCUCCUCUUUGUGCAUUAGCUGGAUCUCAGUGUUAUGCUUGGUUCCACUCGGCGUGAUAAGUUAUCUAUCGCUGAGGACACUGUAAAAAGUGGCCAAGGUAAAUGCAGAUGAACCGCUUCCAACAGUCCAUUCACUUGGACAAUAAUUUUUAUGAUCUGAUCUCAAAUCAGGUAGGACUACCCGCUGAACUUAA